GGGCUAUGUUGCCAGGCUGGUCUUCAGCUCCUGGCCUGAAGCAAUUCUCCCACUUUGGCCUCCCAUAAAGUGCUGGGAUUAUACAUGUGAGCAUUGUGUCCGGCCAACCUCAGUCUUGUAGCUAUAGGUGUUUUUGCUAGAAAUAAUGCAUGUGGUUUACAAUUCUGAUAACAGUGCAAGUGAUGAUACAAUAUACACUUUUUAAAGCUCCCCAGCUUUUAAAGCUGCAUUAGCUCUUCUGCAAUGAAGAAAGCAAGAAGGAAGGAAAUACAGUAGUCCACCCUUAUCCUCGGGAGAUCCCACUGCAGGAUUCCCAGGGGAUGCCUGAAACCAUACAGAGUACUGAUCACUAAAUAAAUAAACACACACACAAACACACACACACAGUUUUUUCCUAUAGGUAUAUACCUAUAAUCAAGUUUAAUUUAUAAAUCUGGCACAGUAACAAAUGAACAGCAAUAACCAAUAAGAAAACGGAACAAUAUACCAUACAAAAGUUAUGUGAACAUGGUCUCGCUCAUUCUCAAAAUAUCUCAUAGUACCGUGCUCACCCUUCUUGUGUUGAAGUGAGAUGAUAAAACGCUUAUAAGAUAAGAUAAAGUGAAUGACUUAGGAAUUCUGAUGUAGCUAAUAUCAACCUUCUGACUAUACCUAAGAAGGGGGAUCAUCUUAGGGUGAUCCUGAAUCACUGAGUCAUGCUGAUGUCCACAGAUGGAUGUCAAAAGCCGAUGAUGUCAAUGACUGACCAAUGGGAGCACGUACAGCGUGGUUAUGUUGAUUCAUAUCCAGGACAGGGUGGUGCAAAAUUUCAUCACGUUACUCAGAACAGUGGACAAUUUAAAACUUAAACUACUAUGGAAGGGACUAUGACUGCUUCUUAGGGUAGCAGAUAUUCUAGAUACUCUUCAGCAAAAUGGACUCCACACUGUAUCUGAUAGGUUUCAAAAGACUUCAAAAAAGGCAUGUUAGUGUACACACAUGACUGGGAUUAACAUUCUAGAAUUUUAGGACUCAAUGGUACACCACUGAGGUAUUGAAAUGAAUUCAACUGUAAAUUUAGAUUAUGGUUCUGAGGUGGAGAUGCAUAAAAAUGAAAACUUAAAACAAAUACCAACACAAUUGGGUAUUUCUGGGUACUAACGUUCCAGGUAAUUAUCUUUCUCGACUUUCAUUUCUAAUGUUAAUAGUUAGCAAUAUCAAUAAUAUUGUUUAUAAAAGAAAUACUGUCCAAACUUUAUUAAGGUGCUCAUGUUAACACUUAAGGUUUCAGAUUUUCAAACUUGGGAUGUUCAAACAGUAGGUAUAAUACAAAUAUUCCAAAAUCCAACAAAAUCUCAAAUCCACAACAUUUCUGUUCCCAAACAUUUUCGUAAAAAAAACCUAAAAAAACAAAAAAACCAAAAAAAACAACUGGCCGGGUGCAGUGGAUCAUGCUUGUAAUCUCAGCACUUUGGGAGAUUGAGGAGGGUAGAUCACAAGGCCAGGAGUUUGAGAACAGCCUGGCCAACAUAGUGAAAUCCUGUCUGUACUAAAAAUACAAAAAAUUAGUCAGGCGUGGUGGCGGGCACCUGUAAUCCCAGCUACUCGGGAGGCUGCGGCAGUAGAAUUGCUUGAACCCGGGAGGGGGAGGUUGCAGUGAGCUGAGAUUGCGCCAUUGCACUCCAGCCUGGGUGACAGUGCGAGAAUCUGUCUCAAAAAAAAAAAAAAAAAAAAAGACCGGGCGCAGUGGCUCACGCCUGUAAUCCCAGCACUUUGGGAGGCCGAGAUGGGCGGAUCAUGAGGUCAGGAGAUCGAGACCACCCUGGCUAACAUGGUGAAACCCUGUCUCCACUAAAAAUACAAAAAAUUAGCUGGGCGUGGUGGCGGGCGCCUGUAGUCCCAGCUACUCAGGAGGCUGAGGCAGGAGAAUGGCUUCAACCCGGGAGGUGGAACUUGCAGUGAGCUGAGAUCGCGCUACUGCACUCCAGCCUGGGUGACAGUGCAAGACUCUGUUUCAAAAUAUAAAUAAAUAAAUAAAUAAAAAUAAAAAACCCUUGGGAGGCCGAGGCAGGUGGAACAUUUGAGGUCAGGAGUUCAAGACCAGCCUGACCAACAUGCUGAAACCCCGGCUCUACUAAAAUACAAAACUUAGCUGGGUAUGGUGGUGGGUGCCUGGAAUCUCAGCUACUCAGGAGGCUGAGGCAGGAGGAGAAUCACUUGAACCCGGGAGAUGCAGGUUGCAGUGAGCCAAGACUGCACCACUGCAUUCUAGCCUGGGCAACACAGUGAGACUCCUUCUCAAAAAAAAAAAAGAAAAAGAAAAAGAAAAAGAAAAAGAAAAAAAGGCCGGGGGCAGUAGCUCAAAUCUCAAAUUCAAAACAUUUUUGUUCCCAAACAUUUUCGUAAACAAAACAAAACAAAACAAAAAAACUGGCUGGGUGCAGUGGAUCAUGCCUGUAAUCCCAGCACUUUGGGAGACUGAGGCGGGUGGAUCACAAGGUCAGGAGUUUGAGACCAGCCUGGCCAACAUAGUGAAAUCCUGUCUCUACUAAAAACACAAAAAAUUAGUCAGGUGUGGUGGCGAGCAUCUGUAAUCCCAGCUACUCAGGAGGCUGAAGCAGGAGAAUCACUUGAAUCCGGGAGGCGGAAGUUGCAGUGAGCUGAGAUCACACCACUGCACUCCAGCCUGGGCAACAGAGUGAGACCGCAUCUCAAAAAACAAACAAAAAAAACUCAACCUGUACCCAAACAAAAAUCUCAAAUUUCUUCCGUCUUAAAUAAAAAUUUUUUUUGGCUGGGCGCGGCACAGUGGCUCAUGCCUAAAUCCCAGGAACUUGGGAGGCCAAGACGGGUGGAUCACCUAAGGCCAGGAGUUCAAGACCAGCCUGGCCAACAUGGCGAAACGCUGUCUCUAUUAAAAAUACAAAAAUUAGGCCGGGCGCGGUGGCUCACGC
rnacentral:lncRNA from 1 species